rnacentral:rRNA from 1 species
CCUACGGGCGGCAGCAGUGGGGGAUAUUGCACAAUGGGGGAAACCCUGAUGCAGCGACGCCGCGUGUGGGAAGACGGUCCUCUGGAUUGUAAACCACUGUCCCCAGGGACGAAGAUGACGGUACCUGGGGAGGAAGCUCCGGCUAACUACGUGCCAGCAGCCGCGGUAAUACGUAGGGAGCAAGCGUUGUCCGGAAUUACUGGGUGUAAAGGGAGCGUAGGCGGGAUGGCAAGUUGGGUGUUAAAUCUACCGGCUCAACUGGUAGUCGCACUCAAAACUGCUAUUCUUGAGUGAAGUAGAGGCAGGCGGAAUUCCUAGUGUAGCAGUGAAAUGCGUAGAUAUUUGGAAGAACACCGAUGGCGAAGGCAGCCCCCUGGGACGCAACUGACGCUCAUACACGAAAGCGUGGGGAGCAAACAGGAUUAGAUACCCGGGUAGUC